rnacentral:rRNA from 1 species
AGUGAACGCUGGCGGUAGGCCUAACACAUGCAAGUCGAACGGCAGCACAGUAAGAGUUUGCUCCUACGGGUGGCGAGUGGCGGACGGGUGAGGUACACCUCGGACUCUCCUUUUUCGGGGGGGAUAACGUAGGGACACUUACGAUAAUACCGCAUACGCCCUACGGGUGAAAGCAGGGGAUCAUCGGACCUUGCGCGUAUGUAUGCGCAGAUGUCGGAUUAGCUAGUUGGCGGGGUAAAGGCCCACCAAGGCGACGAUCCGUAGCUGGUCUGAGAGGAUGAUCAGCCACACUGGAACUGAGACACGGUCCAGACUCCUACGGGAGGCAGCAGUGGGGAAUAUUGGACAAUGGGCGCAAGCCUGAUCCAGCCAUACCGCGUGGGUGAAGAAGGCCUUCGGGUUGUAAAGCCCUUUUGUUGGGAAAGAAAAGCUGCAGGUUAAUACCCGGCUGUUCUGACGGUACCCAAAGAAUAAGCACCGGCUAACUUCGUG